UCCACACUGGAUGAAAGGAGAAGGCUGCUGGUAAUUUAGGAGAUGGUCAAGGACAGGGAGACCUGGCGUACUGCGGUCCAUGGGGUUGCAAAGAGUCAGACACUUGGUGACUAAACAAAUGAAACCGAUCAUGAUGUUGAGCCUCAGAGAGGUUAAGGAAACUUCCCCAAGGUUCCAUGGCCAGUUAUCCCAGUCUCAAUGAAGCACCAAAUGAUGGAGCGCUAGAUUGAACUGGAUUUGAAGAAUUCAGGGAGGCCGCUGCUGACUUCCAUUAACUCCCUUGGAGCACCUAGCAAGCAUGGACUGAUG